UUAGAAUUAACCAAAGUGGUAAAGCCGAA
rnacentral:piRNA from 1 species